ensembl:lncRNA
GUUUAUCGAUAAUGAGGAUCGUUAAACUCUCAGACAAUAAAGAGAAUGUUUGUUGCAUCACAGACAUGAUCGUAUGUUUUACUAACUAAACACAGCAUGUUGUGGAGGGCAUAUCAGUUUGUCUUGAAACAAUUUUACUGCACAAAGCAAAGGAUUUUUGGAAAGUGCAUUCACCCCUGUAAUUUGUCCAUACUGUAAAUUAUUUUUGCAGCAGUGAUCCAACUGGGAAAAACUGACCAAAAGCAACAGCGAUUUCUUUCAAACUUCCUUUUUGUCAGGGUCCCUGUGCCUACCCGGUCGGCUCAGUACGGCUACAUAUGUUUUGUAUUCCUUUUUUUAUUUUUUUCCUGCUCUCUCCUUUCCCCUCUUUCCCUCCUCCCUCUGCCUGGGCGGAGCUUACCUGCGGGCUCCUGCCCUUGGCCCACGCACCUGUGGCUCAUCACGAGUGAUCCAGCUCCUUUAUAAGACGGCAGCCCUGUGUUUCUCGUCGCUGGACCGUUGCCGACCCUCAUUCCCUGGACCUACCCCUGUGUUACCCGAGUGCGUGGAGUGUGAGGAGGAGUGGACGGAGAGUGUGCGUGUCUUUCCCGUUCGUGUGUGGACCCCCGGAGCCCGGCUUUCCCCUCACUUUUGUAAAUAAUCACCUGGUGCAUCAUAAUAAAGACUCUUGUGCUUUCAAGACCUAGAGCCUGCGCGUGAGUCCGUUCAGUCCCGUUGUGACACUUUUUUUUUUUAACCGUUUGGUGGAACUGGCGAUAAAAGGAAAAAAAGGAUUGUUUUCUGGAGAAAACAUUAACUCAACAAAAGUGACAACUGGACCAGCAGUUCGUUAACUCCAUCUGAUUGAGUAAAAUGGCACUAACUUCAGUGAUCCAACGCAGGAAAAACUGACCAAUAACAACAGAGAUUUCUUUCAAACUUCUUUUUUUUAAAAAAAAGUUUGGUGGAACCAACAGUAAAAGGAAAAAAGGAUUAUUUUCUGGAGAAAACAUUAACUCAACAAAAGCUUUUAGCCGACUCAUCAUUAGUGAGGUGUUCACUGGAGCCUUUUGUGGCUGGACUGGGUUGGGAGCUCGAUAAGCUAACAUGACUGAAUUAACUGAAGUAAACUGAAACUAAUGACAAAUCAAAAGUGCAUCUGUGUUCUUUGCAUAAUAAGUGUAGAUGCUUUCUGCAAAAAUGUAAUUUGUCAAAUAACUUUCAUUAAUUUCUGAAUAAAUUCACUAGAUGCAGACCACUGUGUGUUUUACAUUUUCUUCUGUUCUUCAUAAUUCAGUUCUUGCUUUAACUUCGACCUCUUUUUCUGUUUUCAGUGAAAACUGGACCAACACAUUUCUUAAGCACCAUAAGCCAUAGCAACCUUUAGCAGUUCAUUAAUGUCACCGACUUGCUCGAUACCUGCUAUAGACUCUGCACACAUGGAAGCCAAUCAGAGAUCGUACACUGUUAAACUUCCAACAUCUGAGUUCAUUAUUAGCUGUUGAGGUUAAGCAUUCAGUCAACACAGAAACACUGGGGAGGAUGUUUUCUGUACUCUGUAAGGACCAGUGAUGGAUGUGGGGCUGAAGCCUUUAGGUUUAUAUUGUUAAAAAGUAAUUAUGAGAGAAUUUGUUUCAGGUCGUUUUUCAGAGUAACAUGAAAGUAACAUAAUGAAUAAUGUAACAAAUUAACUUUUAGUAAACUACUGCAUUACUUCUAAGAAAGGUGUUCUGUGUAAUAUGUUUAUUUAUUUCUCGAGUAAUAACCUCAACAGCGGUAAGCACAGAUAAUUUUGUUGAUAAUGAGAACGCACUGCUCAUUAAGUUUUAAAAUUACAUUUUAAAAGUCAAAUGAACAAAAUGUGUGUCAAAACAAGCAUUUAGCUCGAUUUCAACUUCUCUGGUCUCUGCAGUAACCUCUUUGUGGUGUAUUUUUUUCCACUUUAACAGUCAAAUAUUAACCACAGGCACUAAAACUGUGUCCUUUACAUCUGCUUCCUCUCUAUUUUAUGGCCUCACAGAGAGUAGUAGUAACAUGUGGUGUAGCUUACUGAUGGCCACUUUAACAUGAAUUCAAAUUGAAAUUUCCACAAGUCAUAAUAGCUAAACCCAGAGAUUUAAAUUCUUUUACAAUCAAGGCCUGUGAGCACCAGUCAAUUUACAUGAAAGUAAAUGAAGUGUAAAAUAUAACUGUGCACAGUUUGUAGAUUUUCUGUGAGUGAGUUAUUUUUUUCAUUUCUUAGCAGUCAUAUAAUGCUUAUUUUCUUUGUCACUUAUUUGUGUAUUUACUGUGUAAAUGUUUGUAAUAGAUAAGUCAGGGCAAGUUUGUUGACGGUGUAAGCCUCAUUUAUUCUCCAGGUUUCAGUACUGUUGUUUACUGUGGCUUGAUUUUCUGUAGAAAGUGUAAUGAAGAAAACUUCUGUUAUGAAACAGCACAUUCCUCAUUUCAAAAGCGC